UCCUCUGCCAGAUUUCUCUCAACUUGAUUUACAUGUACUGAUAUCUGUCUCCAAAGUGCAGUCUGUCCUGCGAGUAUGAGGAGAAGAGUGGCAAGGAGCUCAACUUGUCUCCAUUGCUGCCCUCUUCAACUCCCACCACUUCUCAUCUUGAACAGAAGAAGGAAUGAAGCCUCCGGGGGGAAAGAAAUCUACCUUUGAUAGAUGAAAAAUUUUCCGGCCGCUGUCAUCACAUCCCUCUGCAUUCACGCUCUGUUACUCCCAUGUUUUAAUGUCUCAUAACGAUGCGUGGCACCUUCCUAAUGACGCAUGAGCACUUCUUUGACACAGCCUUUUAAAGUCUUCAUGAAACAGCAGGAUAUAUUUUCAGUUGAAACAAGAUACUGGUGCAGAACAUAACACAGGGGAAGAUCAGUUAAAAGUGUGAACCGAAUGCAAGAAAAAGCAGCUUAAAUUGAUGGCAGGAAGAGAGUGAUGUCAAAAAUCUUGAAUCUGAAUUACAAAAAUAAAUUAAAAUGCAAUUUAUAGUUUUAUAGGACACUGUUCAGGCGAAAUUGGUGGAAACCAAAACAGACAACAAACUCUAAGUGGUGAGAUGUACCUCUCUGGCAGUCCAAUGCUUUUACCAUGGCUCAUUGUAUUUUUUGUAAAUAUUGUGCAAUCUGGUGCUCCACACUGCUGCUUAUUACUCUGACACUGCAUCCCUCAUUCAGCUACUUUAUAUGGAUUACACAAGGGAGGGCAAGACAACAUUAUGACGACAGUAGGCCUACAGUUGCAUGACCAUAUGUUGAUGUGCUUGGUGCAUCGUGCCCAAAUAUGGUUCAUAACUGACAAAAGGAUCAAACUGACGUCAGAGAGAUAAUGUGAUAAGGAAUUAUUUCAUUGGGCCCUGGCCACUGCAGAUGUCUUGUAAACUUGAGACAGAGAGGAUAAGAGUGCAGAUGGCGUCAAUAUCCACAAUAAACACAAGACUUUGACCGUGGCUGGCACAAACACAGUUUCUUCACUCCACUCCAGACACUGUAUAUGACAGGCUGUGCUGUACUGAACAACAGACAGAAGCAAUACCACAUUCAGAUGUGAGGGGUUCACCUCUGCUUAAAAGUCAUGGCUCUGGAAUCAACCAUUUCACCUCAACACUGCAGCCUCCCAUCUGUCCAGUACCGGUACAGACAUGGUGAAGAAGACAAAAAAUAUCAAAGCGUGAGUAAAAGGAGCUCCAAAGACUGGUACCCUCCAGACCUGGCCUUUGUGAGGAGCAGGCAGCACAUAAGGAGGAUGAUAACGGAUAAAAAGCUCAAUGGACUGGUUAUAGAGACGUUCCUGACACCUGCAAGAGGUUACUUACAGCACUUUGAGUCAAAUUAGCAAAUGAGAAGAAAGAGGUGCUUAGCUUAUCAUCUGAGGGGAAGCAGUACAAGACUUCAGCACCUCACAGACUUAACAGUUACUGUCUGUCAUUAAUACCGUCCAUGGUCACUCAUCAUCAAUGUCAGAACUGUCAACAUUCACAACAUGAUGUGGACUAUUUAAGACUCUGUAAAUAUGUAUAAUAUUUUUUGCUACUGCAUAUUUAAUAAAUAUACUUUAUAUAUGAUAUAAAAAGGUA